rnacentral:rRNA from 1 species
AGUGAACGCUGGCGGUAGGCCUAACACAUGCAAGUCGAACGGCAGCACAGUAAGAGCUUGCUCUUACGGGUGGCGAGUGGCGGACGGGUGAGGAAUACAUCGGAAUCUACUUUUUCGUGGGGGAUAACGUAGGGAAACUUACGCUAAUACCGCAUACGACCUACGGGUGAAAGCAGGGGAUCUUCGGACCUUGCGCGAUUGAAUGAGCCGAUGUCGGAUUAGCUAGUUGGCGGGGUAAAGGCCCACCAGGGCGGCGAUCCGUAGCUGGACUGAGAGGAGGAUCGGCCACCCGGGAAGGGAAACACGGACAAGAGGCCUGAGGGAGGCAGCAGUGGGGAAUAUGGGACAAGGGGCGGAAGCAUGACCCAACGAGACGGCGUGGGUGAAAAAGGCGUCGGGUUUGGAAAGCCGUUUUGUGGGGAAAAAAAAGCAGCAGGUUAAGACCCCGCUGUUCUGACGGUACCCAAUAAAUAAGCACCGGCUAACUUCGUG